rnacentral:rRNA from 1 species
UUUUGGACAAUGGGCGCAAGCCUGAUCCAGCCAUGCCGCGUGAGUGAAGAAGGCCUUCGGGUUGUAAAGCUCUUUCGGCGGGGACGAAACGGUUCGUGCUAAUACCACGGACUACUGACGGUACCCGCAGAAGAAGCACCGGCUAACUACGUGCCAGCAGCCGCGGUAAUACGUAGGGUGCGAGCGUUAAUCGGAAUUACUGGGCGUAAAGCGUGCGCAGGCGGUUUCGUAAGCUGGAGGUGAAAUCCCCGGGCUUAACCUGGGAAUGGCCUUCAGGACUGCGAGGCUAGAGUGCGGCAGAGGGAGGUGGAAUUCCACGUGUAGCAGUGAAAUGCGUAGAGAUGUGGAGGAACACCGAUGGCGAAGGCAGCCUCCUGGGCCAGCACUGACGCUCAUGCACGAAA